AAUGUUUGGCUUUAGCUUAUUUCAUUAAUAACCCUUUCUUAAUAUAUGGGAUUAUAAUAAAUUUAAAAUCCAUAACCAGUAUUGAAGAUUAAUUUAUAACAGAAAUUUUGAUUUAGCAAUAGGGGCUAUCCCUGGCAAAGUUUGUGCCAGCCGCAGCGGUUAAACAAACAGGUAAAUUUAUGAAUUAUGGUUAAAAUUUUAGUUAAUUAAGCCAUAAAUUUUUUCUUUUUAUGAUGAGGUAGAAUUCUUCCAUAAAAAAGAAAUAUUUAAAUUUUUACUCAUUACUAAUUUGUUAUUUUAUAAAACUAGGAUUAGAUACCCUACUAUUUAUAACAUAUAAAUUUGAUGACCAGAGAAUUAUUAUAAACUCAAAAAGCUUGGCGGUAUUCUAAACCACUUAGGGGAACCUGUCACAUAAUUGAUAGCCCGCAAAAUACCUUUCUUUACCUCAGUUUGUAUACCGUCGCCGUCAGAUAAUCUCCAAAAAUACAAAAACUUCCUUUAAUAUAUAUUUAUUCACGUCAGAUCAAGGUGCAGCACAUGAUAAAGUGUCAGAUGGGUUACAGUUUUCAAUUUUAAGCCAAAUUAUUUGUGCAAACACUAUAAAAAAGAUGGACUUAAAAGUAAUUUUAUAAAGAAAGGUAAAAUGACUUAGGCACUGGAAUGCGCACACAUCGCCCGUCGCUCUCGCUGAAAAUUGAGAUAAGUCGUAACACAGUAAGAAAAGCGGAAGCUUUCCUUGGAUGA
rnacentral:ncRNA from 1 species